rnacentral:rRNA from 1 species
UUGUUGGUAAGGUAAAAGCUUACCAAGGCUUCGAUCAGUAGCUGGUCUGAGAGGACGACCAGCCACACUGGGACUGAGACACGGCCCAGACUCCUACGGGAGGCAGCAGUGGGGAAUUUUGGACAAUGGGGGCAACCCUGAUCCAGCCAUGCCGCGUGAGUGAAGAAGGCCUUCGGGUUGUAAAGCUCUUUCAGCCGGAACGAAACGGUUACGGUUAAUACCCGUGACUACUGACGGUACCGGAAGAAGAAGCACCGGCUAACUACGUGCCAGCAGCCGCGGUAAUACGUAGGGUGCGAGCGUUAAUCGGAAUUACUGGGCGUAAAGCGUGCGCAGGUGGUUUUGUAAGUCAGAUGUGAAAGCCCCGGGCUCAACCUGGGAACUGCGUUUGAAACUACAAGACUAGAGUGUGGCAGAGGGGGGUGGAAUUCCGCGUGUAGCAGUGAAAUGCGUAGAGAUGUGGAGGAACACCGAUGGCGAAGGCAGCCCCCUGGGUCAACACUGACGCUCAGGCACGAAAGCAUGGGGAGCAAACAGGAUUAGAUACCCUGGUAGUCCAUGCCCUAAACGAUGUCAACUAGUUGUCGGGCCUUUACGGGCUUGGUAACGUAGCUAACGCGUGAAGUUGACCGCCUGGGGAGUACGAUCGCAAGAUUAAAACUCAAAUGAAUUGACGGGGACCCGCACAAGCGGUGGAUUAUGUGGAUUAAUUCGAUGCAACGCGAAAAACCUUACCUACCCUUGACAUGUAUCGAAGCCCGCAGAAAAGCGGGGGUGCCCGAAAGGGAACGAUAACACAGGUGCUGCAUGGCUGUCGUCAGCUCGUGUCGUGAGAUGUUGGGUUAAGUCCCGCAACGAGCGCAACCCUUGUCAUUAAUUGCCAUCACUUAGUUGGGCACUUUAAUGAGACUGCCGG